rnacentral:rRNA from 1 species
ACGCGUUAAAUCGAUCGCCUGGGGAGUACGGCCGCAAGGGUUAAAAACUCAAAUGAAUUGACGGGGGCCCGCACAAGCGGUGGAGCAUGUGGUUUAAUUCGAUGCAACGCGAAGAACCUUACCUACUCUUGACAUCCAGAGAACUUAGCAGAGAUGCUUUGGUGCCUUCGGGAACUCUGAGACAGGUGCUGCAUGGCUGUCGUCAGCUCGUGUUGUGAAAUGUUGGGUUAAGUCCCGCAACGAGCGCAACCCUUAUCCUUUGUUGCCAGCGGUUCGGCCGGGAACUCAAAGGAGACUGCCAGUGAUAAACUGGAGGAAGGUGGGGAUGACGUCAAGUCGUCAUGGCCCUUACGAGUAGGGCUACACACGUGCUACAAUGGCGUAUACAAAGAGAAGCGACCUCGCGAGAGCAAGCGGACCUCAUAAAGUACGUCGUAGUCCGGAUUGGAGUCUGCAACUCGACUCCAUGAAGUCGGAAUCGCUAGUAAUCGUAGAUCAGAAUGCUACGGUGAAUACGUUCCCGGGCCUUGUACACACCGCCCGUCCCACCAUGGGAGUGGGUUGCAAAAGAAGUAGGUAGCUUAACCUUCGGGAGGGCGCUUACCACUUUGUGGUUCAUGACUGGGGUGAAGUCGUAACAAGGUAACCA